rnacentral:lncRNA from 1 species
CUCCAAAAAGCACGGGUGGUUCAAAAAGCCUGACUCAGCCUGGCCUUAGAGGACCCUCCUGCGGAUGCAGGUAAGGGGUUCCACGGGGGCACAGAGCAUGUCACAACUACCGACACACAUGGAACUGCAUCGCGUGCCUGACCGCAGCACGUGACCAGAAGCCAAGGACUGGGCGCUUCCAGGGCAACACGCCUCCGGUGGAGCUUGGCAUCACUCCAUCCUCCCUCCAACCCCAUCGCACCCACCUGCUCCCCGCCGUGGGCUGCUUCUCCAUGAACGGCCUGAUGUUCUUCCAGAUGCCGAAGCCAGAAGUCUUUGAGGCCAAAUGCACCCUCCUGCCCGUCACCUCAAUGACCCCGCAUCUCACUGGUCAUCUCUCUGUUCUUCCAUUCUGUCUCCUUCUGCUGCCCAGAUGCCAAGGCUGGCCCGUGUACCUCCAUGGAUCCUACAGCACCAAGCUCACCUCCAGCAGAGAAAGUGGAGCCGUCAGUGCAGAAGCAGCUCGCCUUAGCUGUGACAGUGUGUUUCCUUUGUUUUGCUUACUUGAUGUUAUGUGAUGCACAGAUUUUUAUUCUGGGUCUCUUUUCUUGGUCAGGACAGUGACUAAUGGUAAAGAUCCAGCUCUGGUUCUUGAUGUGCUAAUCCUAGCCUUGAGUAUUUCUCUACUUGGCCUGUUACAGUGGGCAUGAAUUUAUACGUGACAGGCAGACACAGAGCCUUUUAGCUAAUUACAAAGAGAACGCCCCACAUGGCAGCCAUCCUGCCCCCUUGGAAACAAAAGCAGAGAAAGAUGAUUUGCUGGUGAUUGAAGGUAAAUCUCCU